rnacentral:lncRNA from 1 species
GGCUGAAGGCAGCAGGACCAGACAGGAUGGGGCCUCAGGGCCGUGGUUCUGAGCUUCAUUCCAACAGCAGGAAAAGGGAGGCAUGUUUGUAACCUGCAGGGAGGCGGGAGCCAUGGACAGGAUUGCAUCUGUGACUUGCCAGCAUCCCGCCGGCUCCCAUGGGAGCAGACUGCCCUCAGGCCCCAGCGGAGGGAGGGAGAACAGACAGAACAAUUUUGGCCCCUGGACAUGGUGGCGGCAGGGGAGGUGGGCUGUGGCCUUCCAAGAAGAGGAGGAGACACCAGAGGUGGGCGCAGCAAGGCCGGGAGAAGGUUUCAUGAGAAACCAGCUCUGACACUGGUGGCACCUUGAUCUUGGACUUCCAGGCUCCAGAGCUGUGAGAAAAUAAAGGUCUAUCGUCUAAGCUGCCCAGGCUGAGGUCUUCUGUUACGGUAACUUGGGCUCACUCAUCCAGAGGGGAACCAAAAGCAUGUGGGGUCCUGGCACCCACAGGCAAGCGC